UACGAAGGUCCCAAGCGUUAUCCGGAUUUAUUGGGUUUAAAGGGUGCGUAGGCGGGCUAUUAAGUCAGUGGUGAAAGCCCCAAGCUUAACUUGGGAACUGCCAUUGAUACUGAUGGUCUUGAGUACAUUUGAGGUGGGCGGAAUGUGUCAUGUAGCGGUGAAAUGCUUAGAUAUGACACAGAACACCGAUUGCGAAGGCAGCUCUCUAAACUGUAACUGACGCUGAGGCACGAAAGCGUGGGGAGCAAACAGG
rnacentral:rRNA from 1 species